CGUAGCUCAGUUGGAAGAGCAUUGGGCUAGUAUUCCAAAGGUCGUAGGUUCGAAUCCCACCG
rnacentral:tRNA from 1 species